GCUUGGCUAUAAACAUAGGUAGAACCAACACAAAUCUACCCGCCAGAGAACUACAAGCGAAAAGCUGCAAACUCCAAGGACUUGGCGGUGCUCCACACCAACCUAGAGGAGCCUGUCCUGUAAUCGAUACUCCACGCUAAACCUUACCACUUCUAGCCAAUAGCCUAUAUACCGCCGUCGCCAGCCUACCUUAUGAGGGCAAAACAGUAAGCAAAAUAGUUAACAACUAACACGUCAGGUCAAGGUGUAGCACAUGAUGUGGUAGAGAUGGGCUACAUUUUCUGACACAGAAAACACGGAAGCCGUAGUGAAACCUAUGCCCAAAGGCGGAUUUAGCAGUAAGGCGUGCAAGAAAAAACACCUUAAACCUGCUCUGGAGCGCGC
rnacentral:rRNA from 1 species